AUGGCUGCAUUUGAUUUAGUGGAGUUUGUAGCUAAUCCUAUGUUGGCUGUAUUUGAUGCCUGUGAUUUCGGUUGUGAGUCGACGACAGCGGGAGCUGCAGUGGUGUCCCCGGUGGGUCGUCAUCCAGAGGUGGCUGUGGGUGCACAGCAGCCUGCCGCAAGUGUAUGCACCAGUUCCAUGGGUGAAUCGGAGGACAAGCCUCGGACAUCUGCAGAUGUAAGGGCAGAAUCAUCUCCUGAGGAUCCCCGUGGAGGAACCAGACUGGAGUUUGGAAGUGAUGUCCGUCCCACCCUGACGGUGCUGCCCCCCUCCACAGAGGAGCUGCAGCAGGGGAAGGCCACGUUCAUGUGCCUGGCCAACAAGGGCUUCCCCUCAGACUGGAGUCUGUCCUGGAAGGUGAACGGCGGCAGCAGCAGCAGCUGGGAGGAGAGCAGGAGCCCCGCGGUGCUGCAGAAGGACGGCCACUACAGCUGGAGCAGCACCCUGAGGCUCCCUGCAGACCAGUGGAGGAAGGUGAACUCUGUGACCUGUGAGGCCACCCAGGGCUCCCAGUCUGCACUCUCACACACACUGAGGACACACCAGUGUUCCCAGUACUGAGCCCACUCACUGGGGAUCACCUACUGCUCUGACUCUGCUCAUCAGCUCACUCUGUCUCUCCAACUCUCUGGCUUUGUGUCAUUUCAACACUUUGAACAGCAAACAUUUUCAGGCUUCUCUCACUGCUGCAAUAUUGGUUCAGUGUUUGACCACAAAUAAACGUCUGUACAUCAAAC